UACGAAGGGGGCUAGCGUUGCUCGGAAUCACUGGGCGUAAAGGGUGCGUAGGCGGGUUUUUAAGUCAGGGGUGAAAUCCUGGAGCUCAACUCCAGAACUGCCUUUGAUACUGAAGAUCUUGAGUUCGGGAGAGGUGAGUGGAACUGCGAGUGUAGAGGUGAAAUUCGUAGAUAUUCGCAAGAACACCAGUGGCGAAGGCGGCUCACUGGCCCGAUACUGACGCUGAUGCACGAAAGCGUGGGGAGCAAACAGG
rnacentral:rRNA from 1 species